rfam:Hydrogenobaculum sp. Y04AAS1, complete genome.
GGGCCUCUAGCUCAGUUUGGUUAGAGCGUACCCCUGAUAAGGGUAAGGUCACUGGUUCAAAUCCAGUGAGGCCCA